rnacentral:rRNA from 1 species
GGUUAAGCGACUAAGCGUACACGGUGGAUGCCCUGGCAGUCAGAGGCGAUGAAGGACGUGCUAAUCUGCGAUAAGCGUCGGUAAGGUGAUAUGAACCGUUAUAACCGGCGAUUUCCGAAUGGGGAAACCCAGUGUGAUUCGUCACACUAUCAUUAACUGAAUCCAUAGGUUAAUGAGGCGAACCGGGGGAACUGAAACAUCUAAGUACCCCGAGGAAAAGAAAUCAACCGAGAUUCCCCCAGUAGCGGCGAGCGAACGGGGAGCAGCCCAGAGCCUGAAUCAGUGUGUGUGUUAGUGGAAGCGUCUGGAAAGGCGCGCGAUACAGGGUGACAGCCCCGUACACAAAAAUGCACAUGCUGUGAGCUCGAUGAGUAGGGCGGGACACGUGGUAUCCUGUCUGAAUAUGGGGGGACCAUCCUCCAAGGCUAAAUACUCCUGACUGACCGAUAGUGAACCAGUACCGUGAGGGAAAGGCGAAAAGAACCCCGGCGAGGGGAGUGAAAAAGAACCUGAAACCGUGUACGUACAAGCAGUGGGAGCACGCUUAGGCGUGUGACUGCGUACCUUUUGUAUAAUGGGUCAGCGACUUAUAUUCUGUAGCAAGGUUAACCGAAUAGGGGAGCCGAAGGGAAACCGAGUCUUAACUGGGCGUUAAGUUGCAGGGUAUAGACCCGAAACCCGGUGAUCUAGCCAUGGGCAGGUUGAAGGUUGGGUAACACUAACUGGAGGACCGAACCGACUAAUGUUGAAAAAUUAGCGGAUGACUUGUGGCUGGGGGUGAAAGGCCAAUCAAACCGGGAGAUAGCUGGUUCUCCCCGAAAGCUAUUUAGGUAGCGCCUCGUGAAUUCAUCUCCGGGGGUAGAGCACUGUUUCGGCAAGGGGGUCAUCCCGACUUACCAACCCGAUGCAAACUGCGAAUACCGGAGAAUGUUAUCACGGGAGACACACGGCGGGUGCUAACGUCCGUCGUGAAGAGGGAAACAACCCAGACCGCCAGCUAAGGUCCCAAAGUCAUGGUUAAGUGGGAAACGAUGUGGGAAGGCCCAGACAGCCAGGAUGUUGGCUUAGAAGCAGCCAUCAUUUAAAGAAAGCGUAAUAGCUCACUGGUCGAGUCGGCCUGCGCGGAAGAUGUAACGGGGCUAAACCAUGCACCGAAGCUGCGGCAGCGACGCUUAUGCGUUGUUGGGUAGGGGAGCGUUCUGUAAGCCUGUGAAGGUGUACUGUGAGGUAUGCUGGAGGUAUCAGAAGUGCGAAUGCUGACAUAAGUAACGAUAAAGCGGGUGAAAAGCCCGCUCGCCGGAAGACCAAGGGUUCCUGUCCAACGUUAAUCGGGGCAGGGUGAGUCGACCCCUAAGGCGAGGCCGAAAGGCGUAGUCGAUGGGAAACAGGUUAAUAUUCCUGUACUUGGUGUUACUGCGAAGGGGGGACGGAGAAGGCUAUGUUGGCCGGGCGACGGUUGUCCCGGUUUAAGCGUGUAGGCUGGUUUUCCAGGCAAAUCCGGAAAAUCAAGGCUGAGGCGUGAUGACGAGGCACUACGGUGCUGAAGCAACAAAUGCCCUGCUUCCAGGAAAAGCCUCUAAGCAUCAGGUAACAUCAAAUCGUACCCCAAACCGACACAGGUGGUCAGGUAGAGAAUACCAAGGCGCUUGAGAGAACUCGGGUGAAGGAACUAGGCAAAAUGGUGCCGUAACUUCGGGAGAAGGCACGCUGAUAUGUAGGUGAAGUCCCUCGCGGAUGGAGCUGAAAUCAGUCGAAGAUACCAGCUGGCUGCAACUGUUUAUUAAAAACACAGCACUGUGCAAACACGAAAGUGGACGUAUACGGUGUGACGCCUGCCCGGUGCCGGAAGGUUAAUUGAUGGGGUCAGCGCAAGCGAAGCUCUUGAUCGAAGCCCCGGUAAACGGCGGCCGUAACUAUAACGGUCCUAAGGUAGCGAAAUUCCUUGUCGGGUAAGUUCCGACCUGCACGAAUGGCGUAAUGAUGGCCAGGCUGUCUCCACCCGAGACUCAGUGAAAUUGAACUCGCUGUGAAGAUGCAGUGUACCCGCGGCAAGACGGAAAGACCCCGUGAACCUUUACUAUAGCUUGACACUGAACAUUGAGCCUUGAUGUGUAGGAUAGGUGGGAGGCUUUGAAGUGUGGACGCCAGUCUGCAUGGAGCCGACCUUGAAAUACCACCCUUUAAUGUUUGAUGUUCUAACGUUGACCCGUAAUCCGGGUUGCGGACAGUGUCUGGUGGGUAGUUUGACUGGGGCGGUCUCCUCCUAAAGAGUAACGGAGGAGCACGAAGGUUGGCUAAUCCUGGUCGGACAUCAGGAGGUUAGUGCAAUGGCAUAAGCCAGCUUGACUGCGAGCGUGACGGCGCGAGCAGGUGCGAAAGCAGGUCAUAGUGAUCCGGUGGUUCUGAAUGGAAGGGCCAUCGCUCAACGGAUAAAAGGUACUCCGGGGAUAACAGGCUGAUACCGCCCAAGAGUUCAUAUCGACGGCGGUGUUUGGCACCUCGAUGUCGGCUCAUCACAUCCUGGGGCUGAAGUAGGUCCCAAGGGUAUGGCUGUUCGCCAUUUAAAGUGGUACGCGAGCUGGGUUUAGAACGUCGUGAGACAGUUCGGUCCCUAUCUGCCGUGGGCGCUGGAGAACUGAGGGGGGCUGCUCCUAGUACGAGAGGACCGGAGUGGACGCAUCACUGGUGUUCGGGUUGUCAUGCCAAUGGCACUGCCCGGUAGCUAAAUGCGGAAGAGAUAAGUGCUGAAAGCAUCUAAGCACGAAACUUGCCCCGAGAUGAGUUCUCCCUGACUCCUUGAGAGUCCUGAAGGAACGUUGAAGACGACGACGUUGAUAGGCCGGGUGUGUAAGCGCAGCGAUGCGUUGAGCUAACCGGUACUAAUGAACCGUGAGGCUUAACCUU